rnacentral:rRNA from 1 species
AGCGAACGCUGGCGGCAGGCCUAACACAUGCAAGUCGAACGAACCUUUCGGGGUUAGUGGCGGACGGGUGAGUAACACGUGGGAACGUGCCUUUAGGUUCGGAAUAACUCAGGGAAACUUGUGCUAAUACCGAAUGUGCCCUUCGGGGGAAAGAUUUAUCGCCUGUAGAGCGGCCCGCGUCUGAUUAGCUAGUUGGUUGAGGUAAUGGCUCACCAAGGCGACGAUCAGUAGCUGGUCUGAGAGGAUGAUCAGCCACAUUGGGACUGAGACACGGCCCAAACUCCUACGGGAGGCAGCAGUGGGGAAUCUUGCGCAAUGGGCGAAAGCCUGACGCAGCCAUGCCGCGUGAAUGAUGAAGGUCUUAGGAUUGUAAAAUUCUUUCACCGGGGACGAUAAUGACGGUACCCGGAGAAGAAGCCCCGGCUAACUUCGUG